CAAGUGGUAGUCGCUAUUAUUGGGCCUAAAACGUCCGUAGCCGGUUUGGUACAUUCGUGGGUAAAUCAACCCGCUCAACGGGUUGAAUUCUGCGAGCACGGCCAGACUAGGGACCGGGAGAGGUGUGGGGUACUCUCGGGGUAGGGGUAAAAUCCUGUCAUCCUGAGAGGACCACCUGUUGCGAAGGCGCCACACUAGAACGGAUCCGACGGUCAGGGACGAAGCCUAGGGGCACGAACCGGAUUAGAUACCCGGGUAGUCCUAGGUGUAAACGCUGUGGACUUGGUGUUGGGGGCGCUCAGAGGGCUCUCAGUGCCGCAGCGAAGGUGAUAAGUCCACUGCCUGGGGAGUACGGUCGCAAGGCUGAAACUUAAAGGAAUUGGCCGGGGGAGCACUGAAACCUGAGGAUUGUGCGGUUAAAUUGGAUUCACGGCCGGAA
rnacentral:rRNA from 1 species